GCCGUGCAGCAGUACCUGGGCGAGGUGGUGGUAGUGGUGCCUCAGUGAAGCUGGGGACGCUGGGCUGACCACUCCGUUGGCCCGUCACUCCCUCACCAGCCUCGUGUGACCGGGGAACGCACUUUGCUCUACCCUCACCCGAGAACAAAAACUUUAUAAGUGUAACUCAACAUCAUGACUAGAAAGGUUGUGUUACGUGAGUGUUUAAUGAUUUAAUAGAGUGUUAAAGUCGAAGAAACUCAGAUUAAUUUUGUUUUAAUAUUGAAGUACUGAUGUUAAUUGGACUAGUGUAGUACUUUCCUACUACCACUUGCUGUGUGUGCUGUAGUGUGGCGUCUCCAGUUGACAGGUCCCUCAUCCAUCGUGCUGAGUCGAGCGUGCGGCCGCGGGCGGUGCUUCACGGCAUCAAAGGUGAGUCGCAGUGG